ACGCGCCACACAGGCGGAAAGGCGGGAGACCGUCGCUUCCGCGUAUGUCAAGAAGUCAAGAUGGACGAAAAGUUGAUAUUGUCUGUUUUUAAUUUUCCUGAGCUGUAUAAUACAACUUUGCCAGAUUACCGCAAUGGUGACACAAGAUCACUUGCUUGGGGGAAAAUAAGCUCAUUGACAGCUCUUCCAGCUGAAGAGUGCAAAAGGAAAUGGAAGAAUCUGAGAGACCGAUACUUCAAGGAAGUAAGACAGGAGAAGAGGAGUAAGGAGGAGACAGGGGAGCUCGCUCCAAGCCGAUGGAAAUACAGACAACGUCUGAUCUUUCUUCAACCAUACAUUAAACCAAGAAACAGCAAUGUGGCCCCUGCCAACCUGGAAAGCCCUGAUACAAUCAAUAAAAGCGCACAGAGUGAAAUAAUACCUGUCAAAACACUCAACACAGCCCUGGUGAACGACAUGAAAACCCCUAGCACCCAGGUUGGCACCAUGUCACAGCUAGCUUUUGUGACCCAGCUGUCCCCAGGGCAACAAAGCGCCCAACUGUCUUUUCUGGGCAAGUGUCCACCAGGCGCCCAGACGUCCCCAGCACCCCAGACAUCCGCAGUGCUCCAGUCAUCAAUUUACGCAACCAAGGAGAGGCCUCAGACAAGACAACCUGCUUCACCAUGUUCCUCAAGCACUCCCUCUAAGCGCUCCGCUAAGAACAGGAUGCUGCUGGCCAAAGAGAAAGAUCACAGAUCAGAUUCCACGAUCCCUAUCUGGCAGUGUGACGAGGAUGAGAUGUUACUCCUCAGCUUCGUUCCUGCUUUGAAGAGGCUAACCCCACAAAAAAGAUGUGAGACCAAAAUUAAGAUCCAACAGAUUAUGUAUGAGGCCGAGUUUAGUAUGGAUCAGCCAGUGACUGUCAAUGAACCACCGGUGACGGUGUCCAAAGAACUGCCAGAUCAAGAGACGUCAUAACUCAUUCAUAUUGUAGGGUUGUUCUCAGGUUUAUAUGUUUUUUUAUUUUGACCGAAACAAUCUUUUUCUAAAAUAUAUAUUUUUAAAUCUCUCUCCUAAUGCACAUGAAUAGGCAAGUUAUUCAUGUUCUGUUUUUGGAAUAUCACAUUUUUGGUGGUAUCAUAGAGAGGUGCAAAAAAAUAACUUUUUACAUUUUUAUAGAUGAUCUUCUGAUUUUGCUGUUGUGAAUGCAAGUUCUUAACCCAAUUGAAAAUAAAAAUGGGCUGUUAUUCUGUUUCUAA